rnacentral:misc_RNA from 1 species
GUAGGUGAACCUGCGGAAGGAUCAUUUGCAAAAGAGUGUGGGUGGUGCGGGGAGCGAGAGCGAACCGUGCUGUCUAUGAGUGCGUUAGAGUGGGACUGAGUAUGGUGCGCGAUAAAGCGAGAGAACUUUUAACAAUGGAUCUCUUGGCUCCU